UAUAUUUUCACACUGCAUAUGAAAGAGAAGGGAAAGCCCGUCUGCCUUCACAAUAAGGGUCGUUGGCCUAUUUGUAGUGGACGUGGCCUUGGGUGCAGCCAGCCAGUGGCAGUCUGAGGCCUCUUUGUAGGCCGCCGAACAUGCACCAAACCACAAAUUAUCAUUGGAGCAAGACAGGCCUCCUGCACCACAACCAGGCCCACCUCUACCUCCCCGAAAGCUUUGGAUUUAUGGCAUGUGUCCAAAUAAACAUGUCUGAACGUUGUGGCAGAGAGGAGCCGUGGUUGACCAUGCAUCUGAGAGAAUCAGAUCUCACACCUGUAUUAGUGAUGCAGCUUGCCUUGAGGAGGGAAAAGAUUUCCAUUCAUAACCAGAGUGAUGAAUAUGGAUGCUACUGUGAUGGACAGAAACACAUGAGGUAGAUCAAGGUAAAAACAUGUCUCUUUGAUAUCAAGAGCCUUUUAAUUUCUGUAAUUACCAAAACUGGCACAGAGGGACUUUGAGCACUGAUGGACAACCAGCUUACCAGGCAAUGGGCAGUUUUUGUAUAUUUGCCCAGUGAGUGAUUUGCAGAAAGACAUCCUUGUAAAGGCCACCGUCAUCCCUCUCUGAGGGCCCUCUGGGUGCUGACACCUCGUGUCUAUCAACUCUAACAUGGCUGUCAGCGCAGAUCACACCAUCCCUGCCAGCCAGUUCUCUCCUACCGCUUGCUGGUAUUAUACAGUAUCAGCGGAGACGACCAAGAGACAAAGAACUAUAGAGCAGACAAAGAUGUCUUUCAGCUAAUAUUGACACACACUCAGUUUCAUUGCAUUUGAGUGCUGAAGUAUAAUCACCAUCAGGGAUAUAAUAUCAAUAAAUGCUGUGCAUUGGUACACGUGGAUCCUGCUGGAGGAUGUUUAUGUGUAGACACUGAUUAUUUAUGUUUCAGCAUGUUACCAUGUUGAGGUAAGGAUUAGAGGAUGGAUACCCGAACCGAGCUCGUCGGGACCCGGUGGUACCCGACGCGCC